GACGAACGCUGGCGGCGUGCUUAACACAUGCAAGUCGAACGGAAAGGCCCUGCUUUUGUGGGGUGCUCGAGUGGCGAACGGGUGAGUAACACGCGAGUAACCUGCCCUUGACUUUGGGAUAACUUCAGGAAACUGGGGCUAAUACCGGAUAGGAGCUCCUGCUGCAUGGUGGGGGUUGGAAAGAUUCGGCGGUUGGGGAUGGACUCGCGGCUUAUCAGCUUGUUGGUGGGGUAGUGGCUUACCAAGGCUUUGACGGGUAGCCGGCCUGAGAGGGUGGCCGGCCACAUUGGGACUGCGAUACGGCCCAGACUCCUACGGGAGGCAGCAGUGGGAAAUAUUGCACAAUGGGCGGAAGCCUGAUGCAGCAACGCCGCGUGCGGGAUGCCGGCCUUCGGGUUGUAAACCGCUUUCGCCUGUGACGAAGAGUGAGUGACGGUAAUGGGUAAAGAAGCACCGGCUAACUACGUG
rnacentral:rRNA from 1 species